GACACAGGUGGUCAGGUAGAGAAUACUCAGGCGCUUGAGAGAACUCGGGUGAAGGAACUAGGCAAAAUGGUGCCGUAACUUCGGGAGAAGGCACGCUGGCGUUAGGUGAAAGGACUAGCUCCUGGAGCUGAAGCCAGUCGCAGAUACCAGCUGGCUGCAACUGUUUAAUAAAAACACAGCACUGUGCAAACACGAAAGUGGACGUAUACGGUGUGACGCCUGCCCGGUGCUGGAAGGUUAAUUGAUGGGGUCAGCCGCAAGGGGAAGCUCUUGAUCGAAGCCCCAGUAAACGGCGGCCGUAACUAUAACGGUCCUAAGGUAGCGAAAUUCCUUGUCGGGUAAGUUCCGACCUGCACGAAUGGCGUAAUGAUGGCCAGGCUGUCUCCACCCGAGACUCAGUGAAAUUGAACUCGCUGUGAAGAUGCAGUGUACCCGCGGCAAGACGGAAAGACCCCGUGAACCUUUACUAUAGCUUGACACUGAACAUUGAGCCUUGAUGUGUAGGAUAGGUGGGAGGCCUUGAAGUGUGGACGCCAGUCUGCAUGGAGCCAACCUUGAAAUACCACCCUUUAAUGUUUGAUGUUCUAACUCGGCCCCAUGAUCUGGGGUGAGGACAGUGUCUGGUGGGUAGUUUGACUGGGGCGGUCUCCUCCCAAAGAGUAACGGAGGAGCACGAAGGUUAGCUAAUCACGGUCGGACAUCGUGAGGUUAGUGCAAAGGCAUAAGCUAGCUUGACUGCGAGAGUGACGGCUCGAGCAGGUACGAAAGUAGGUCUUAGUGAUCCGGUGGUUCUGAAUGGAAGGGCCAUCGCUCAACGGAUAAAAGGUACUCCGGGGAUAACAGGCUGAUACCGCCCAAGAGUUCAUAUCGACGGCGGUGUUUGGCACCUCGAUGUCGGCUCAUCACAUCCUGGGGCUGAAGUAGGUCCCAAGGGUAUGGCUGUUCGCCAUUUAAAGUGGUACGCGAGCUGGGUUUAGAACGUCGUGAGACAGUUCGGUCCCUAUCUGCCGUGGGCGUUGGAAGAUUGAGAGGGGCUGCUCCUAGUACGAGAGGACCGGAGUGGACGAAUCACUGGUGUUCGGGUUGUCAUGCCAAUGGCAUUGCCCGGUAGCUAAAUUCGGAAGAGAUAACCGCUGAAAGCAUCUAAGCGGGAAACUUGCCUCGAGAUGAGUCUUCCCUGGGGCUUAAAGCCCCCUGAAGGAACGUUAAAGACUAUGACGUUGAUAGGCUGGGUGUGUAAGUGCAGCGAUGUAUUGAGCUAACCAGUACUAAUGAUCCGUGAGGCUUAACC
rnacentral:rRNA from 2 species